AUUGAACGCUGGCGGCAGGCUUAACACAUGCAAGUCGAGCGGAGCGAGGGUGCUUGCACCUUAGCUUAGCGGCGGACGGGUGAGUAAUGCUUAGGAAUCUGCCUAUUAGUGGGGGACAACAUUCCGAAAGGAAUGCUAAUACCGCAUACGCCCUACGGGGGAAAGCAGGGGAUCUUCGGACCUUGCGCUAAUAGAUGAGCCUAAGUCGGAUUAGCUAGUUGGUGGGGUAAAGGCCUACCAAGGCGACGAUCUGUAGCGGGUCUGAGAGGAUGAUCCGCCACACUGGGACUGAGACACGGCCCAGACUCCUACGGGAGGCAGCAGUGGGGAAUAUUGGACAAUGGGCGGAAGCCUGAUCCAGCCAUGCCGCGUGUGUGAAGAGGGCCUUUUGGUCGUAAAGCACUUUAAGCGAGGAGGAGGCUACUUAGAUUAAUACUCUGGGAUAGUGGACGUUACUCGCAGAAUAAGCACCGGCUAACUCUGUGCCAGCAGCCGCGGUAA
rnacentral:rRNA from 1 species